AGCACAGUAGGCUGUUUGAGUGGCACUACUAGCCGGCCUGAACGGAGGGCAAGAUUGGCUCUCGUGUAGUUUAGUUUGGCCUCAAAGUGCCUAUGAAGAUUCAGGAUGACCGUCAGUUCCUGAUCCUCCUGCCAUCAUCUCCCAUUGAUAUUACAGACCCUAUGUUCACUCCCAGUUUUAACUAUGUACAAAAGGUAAGAAGUCUCUUUAGCUGUAACAAUCCAUGUGUCAGAGUAAAGCUUCCAACUCAACUGUGUAACACUUUCCUUUUUCUUCUCUCUGGUCCUUACUUCUUUCUGCUACUUAAUUUCAGUUCCUCAUGCUCUGAAGAUCCCAUUUGCCUCGAGUUUCUUACAUAGACAUCAUAAGCAGUAC